rnacentral:misc_RNA from 1 species
AUGUACAAACAAGUCACUGAGAAAACAUGUUCUUUUGAUGUAAAUCUUUUGCAGCUCGAAAGGAUUUCAUGGUUUGUUCGUCUCACACCUGAGUGUGAGAACAUUGUAUACCAAAAGAGGUCUAUGCUGAACGUACACUUUUCAUUGAUCUGUGAUUGGCGUGUUGGAACCCCCAGGAUUUGCUAUCAUUGUAUAUAUAUUUGAAAUGAUGUUUUAAAGGUGUGUAGUGUUAUUACUUGGUUUAACCAUCUAUGUAUGAUAAUAUGAG